UUGUGACAUUGCAUUGCGUUCUUUCACCUCUGUUCAUUUAUUGUUGAACAGAUUUGGAUAUACGAAGCUUCAAUUUUGAGUGUUUCUACAUAACUGAUCGGAGUAGCGUACGGCGAUGAUUAAUCAAAUGUACUUUAAUGUUUUACUGAUUUUAAAGGCAUAAUAAAUUAUGCACAAAUGUUCAACAUGAAUACUGAUGUACAACGCAUUAUAGUUUAUGUCAAUGUUCUUUACAGGCUGUUGAACAUCAAUUAAUACUUUUUUGAGCGUUCGAUUUUUUGACGUUGACGUAUAGCAAAUCUUACGUUAACUCCGCCUUUCUUUAACACUCAAUAUUGCCAGGGGCUUGAUCACAAUUUAAGGUAUUUCACUUACAAUGUUCAAUUAGCAAAGUGUCGUGGUUGAUCAUUAGCAAAGGGAUUAUAUUGCAGUUAUUCCAUCUCACACAGCCAAAGGUGUGAUGUGAGAGAAAAAGAUAAGAAGAGACGAGGGUCUACAAGUUAUUGUCACAGCCCGUACCCACACCAUAGCAAUUCAUUACAAUUAAAGGUGUGAUUUAAGAGAAAAAGAACACGAAGAAAGUCUACAGAUUAUUGUGGCACCCCGUAUAUACAGCAUAGCACUUCAUGACAAUUACAGGUUGGAAAUAAGAUAAAAAAGUACAGUCGCAUACAAAGUAGUGACGUCCUAUACUUCAUACAAGAUUAUACGUGAGGAACAGUGAACUAAAUGUGUCGACUGUUGUCAUUUUUUCUACGAGGAUACUAAAUUGCAACUCUGUGAAAAAUUGAAUAGGACUUAAUAGGCAUUUCUGAUUAAUUUAAUGUGAAUCUGGAGCUGGAUAUAGAGGUGUCUUCUUCUCUUCUUGAUCUCUCUGUUCAGGAGAUACAAUUUUGAUACAAGUCUGAUACAUCUGCUAAACACUGAUUCUGCUGGUGCUUCUACAAGAUUAUGCGACACGCUGCAGACGACUCAAAAGAUAUGGCUUCACAGUUGGAUUUCCCUAUGGCAGAAGAAAUAAAUGCAGACGACAGUUUUUGGGAUUAUACCGGAUAUAAAUCACUGAUGG
rnacentral:misc_RNA from 1 species